rnacentral:snRNA from 14 species
AUGCUAAGUUCAGUGACACAUAUAGGAAUUUGGAACAAUAACGCAAAGAUUUGUACGGCCUCUGUGCAUGGAUGAUAUGAAAGUAUGUGAAUCAUCUUUUUUUU